rnacentral:rRNA from 1 species
GACGAACGCUGGCGGCGUGCCUAAUACAUGCAAGUCGAGCGGACCUCUUCGGAGGUUAGCGGCGGACGGGUGAGUAACACGUGGGCAACCUGCCUGUAAGACUGGGAUAACUCCGGGAAACCGGAGCUAAUACCGGAUAGUAUCUUGAACCGCAUGGUUCAAGUUGGAAAGACGGUUUCGGCUGUCACUUACAGAUGGGCCCGCGGCGCAUUAGCUAGUUGGUGAGGUAAUGGCUCACCAAGGCAACGAUGCGUAGCCGACCUGAGAGGGUGAUCGGCCACACUGGGACUGGGACACGGCCCAGACUCCUACGGGAGGCAGCAGUAGGGAAUCUUCCGCAAUGGACGAAAGUCUGACGGAGCAACGCCGCGUGAGUGAUGAAGGUUUUCGGAUCGUAAAACUCUGUUGUUAGGGAAGAACAAGUGCGAGAGUAACUGCUCGCACCUUGACGGUACCUAACCAGAAAGCCACGGCUAACUACGUGCCAGCAGCCGCUGUAACAC